CUUUUAUCUUAAAUCACACACAUAUCGUCACGCAGUCUGGGGUGCUCAAUUUUUUGAUUAUUUAAUCAAUUAGUUAGGGUCGGAUUAUUAGCGGGAUAUGUGGAGGCUUAAC
rnacentral:sRNA from 1 species